AUUGAAUUUUAUCCGUUAUAUCGGAUACCGGAUAUCCAAAUCCGAUAACUUGUCGGAUAUUUCCUUCUUAACCUAUCGGAAACGGAUUGGGCUAUAUCCGAUUGAUUAUAUCCGAUAUCCGAUAGGGUUGGGGUGUACUAGUAAUUUUUAAAUACCAAGUCUACUAGACUAGUCGAGGAGUCGAGAGAAGAGAAGACAUUUCCCUUUUCUUUUCUUCUUCUAUUCUCACUAUGUUAUCAGUCUCAGUCUCGCUCCCCCCUCUCGAUUAAUCACUCGGUUCUCACUUCUCCAAUAAUUGAUCACUCAAUCAGGCUCCCAAGAAAGGUGUUAAAACUCCAGUAGCAGCAAAUAAGAAGAAUCUGGCUAAACAACACACAAAACUUCAUUAAGUCCAGAAAGAUAGCAAGGGAUGUGUUGGCUGUUCCGGUGACCAGUGUAGCAUCAGAGUCCAUGUUCAGCGAUGGUGGAAGGGUUCUAACAACACACAAAACUUCAUUAUGUCCAGAAUUAGUCCAAGCAUUGCUAUGCUUAAGUGAUUGGCUGCCAGACUUUUUUGAUGCAGGUAAAUCUUCUUUUCCUUUGCUUAGUUCUUUGUUAAAAAUUGAGACUAGAUAUCGAUUUUUUGAGUGACAGCCUAUGCAUUUUGUUUGCUUACGCUCUUCAUAGUAGUGGUAUAUCAGGUGAAUUUAAGCAUUGGCAAAGAGGAAGCCUUAAUGGCACUUCAGGAUGUAUUUUGGUAUAUGCAAGUAUUUUGUAGUUACUGCAAAAAAGCUAUAGUGGAAGUGCUCUUGAAUCUUGUAAUGUGAAUGACCUAAUACAAACAGCUUCAUAUAACAUAAAGACUUUCUCAGACUAGUUGAGAUGAUUUAGAUUGGGUAAGGACAAUGUCUUAUGUCAAGUCCAAGUUAUCAUGAAAAUUUGUAUAAUAUAGGCCAAUUUUCAGACUAGUACAAGGAUAGAAUAUACAAAAGGGGAGACAGUGAUUCAAGAUUUAUUAGCAUUCUUGCAUUUUUAAACAUUGAUGUAAGAAUGAGAUUCCCUCAAAUAUCCCCUUGACUAAGGUCUGGCAAUAUUCAGUUCAAAAUAUUCAGCUCAAAUUUGCUAAUGUUGAGAUCCUAUUACCAGUUUUAAAUGAAUGCUUGACUAGGCCGAUCCUGUAGUUUCGACUACUAACCAUCGUGGUGUUCUGAUUGUGGUUGUUAAGUGUUAGUUCUCUACCUUCAUUGUCGCUCUCCUAUAUCUCUCUCCACCUUGUUACCUCUGUGAAUUUUUAGAUUGCAUAUCUUUUGCUUGGUUAGCAUGUGGGUGUGUGUGUUGCACUGUUGCUUAUAGUGGUGAAAGCUUUGAGAAACUGAAAUGUUAGAUGUCAGAAUUUUCUUAUCAAGUGAUUCUUUGUGAUUUGUGAAUGCGGAUAUGGAAAUCAUGAACUGAAGUGAAGUUGAUGCAAUGAUACAACAUGCCAGGAAGCCAAGCAAGAUCACACUAAGUUACACUACUCACUAGCGUGUUGACAUUGUUUUUUUUUUUUUUUUGGCUUUGUUGUAGCAUGCUGUGUACUUUCUUUUGCAUUCACUAGACUGAGAGUAAACUCUUUAACUCUAACCAUUGUGCUUGUGUGGGUUUGUACUUUUCACUGAACAUUUUGAACUUAAAAAGACAAAAGACUGUUUUUUUCAA